CGCGGUGGGACUCGCGGUAGAGUGCGGGAGCUGACCUGCAGGGGAAUCCGGUGAGAACCCGGAACUGACGCGCAACGGUAUGGGGCCUGCCAUUCCCGACAUGGCCUCCGAGUCCGAAUGCCUGCGGCCGGUGAACCGUUGAU
rnacentral:ncRNA from 2 species